rnacentral:rRNA from 1 species
CGGAAGGGGGACCUGCGGAAGGAUCAUUA